UCAUGAAAUUCUCAACCUUUGUUACUUUUUUUGUUUCAAAGAGUCUGGAAGUGGAGGUUGCUGGCUUUUGUUGAAAG
rnacentral:rRNA from 1 species